UACUUCCCAUUAGUGGCAACCCUGCCUUGUGAUCAAAUUUGACGCCGACGGUGUUUCCUGAGCUGGGGAGUUUGCAGAUCUGAUCUGUCAGCGGGGACUGAGAGCAAAUCGGGACAUUCAUCAUGACUUUGGCUGCCAAGCUGGAAGACUUUGAGCUGACACUGGAGCACCUGCUCAUGGAUGUGUUUGUGAUCCUGAGAUCCAAAAGGCAAGGACACCUUUGUAACCUCCAUGGCACCUAGAAUAUUGUAUACAAGGACCUCAAUAGAUACAUAUCAAUCGCUUGAGUUUUAACUAGUAUAUUUUUACUGUUAUUGUAAAAUUUAACUUUUGC
rnacentral:lncRNA from 1 species